GGGGGGGCAAGCGUUGUUCGGAAUUACUGGGCGUAAAGGGCGCGCAGGCGGCCUGGCAAGUCCUACGUGAAAUCCCACAGCUCAACUGUGGAACUGCGUGGGAUACUGCCAGGCUUGAGUCCGGGAGAGGAGAGUGGAAUUCCCAGUGUAGCGGUGAAACGCGUAGAUAUUGGGAGGAACACCGGUGGCGAAGGCGGCUCUCUGGACCGGUACUGACGCUGAGGCGCGAAAGCUAGGGGAGCAAACGGGGAUUAGAUACCCCGGUAGUCCUAGCCGUAAACUUUGAGCACUUGGUGUGGCGGGUAUCGACCCCCUGCCGUGCCGAAGCUAACGCAUUAAGUGCUCCGCCCGGGGAGUACGAUCGCAAGGCUG
rnacentral:rRNA from 1 species